rnacentral:rRNA from 1 species
GUGAGGAAUAUUGGACAAUGGGCGCAAGCCUGAUCCAGUCAUGCCGCGUGCAGGAAGACGCAUCUAUGGUGUGUAAACUGCUUUUGUACGGGAAGAAACACUCCCUCGUGAGGGAGCUUGACGGUACCGUAAGAAUAAGGAUCGGCUAACUCCGUGCCAGCAGCCGCGGUAAUACGGAGGAUCCAAGCGUUAUCCGGCAUCAUUGGGUUUAAAGGGUCCGUAGGCGGUUUAAUAAGUCAGUGGUGAAAGCCCAUCGCUCAACGAUGGAACGGCCAUUGAUACUGUUAGACUUGAAUUACAAGGAAGUAACUAGAAUAUGUAGUGUAGCGGUGAAAUGCUUAGAUAUUACAUGGAAUACCAAUUGCGAAGGCAGGUUACUACUUGUGGAUUGACGCUGAUGGACGAAAGCGUGGGGAGCGAACAGGAUUAGAAACCCGUGUAGUCC